AUUGAACGCUGGCGGAAUGCUUUACACAUGCAAGUCGAGCGGCAGCGCGGCCUUCGGGCUGGCGGCGAGCGGCGAACGGGUGAGUAAUGCAUCGGAACAUGCCCAGUCGUGGGGGAUAACACUUCGAAAGAAGUGCUAAUACCGCAUACGUCCUGAGGGGGAAAGCGGGGGAUCGCAAGACCUCGCGCGAUUGGAGUGGCCGAUGUCAGAUUAGCUAGUUGGUGGGGUAAAGGCCUACCAAGGCGACGAUCUGUAGCUGGUCUGAGAGGAUGAUCAGCCACACUGGGACUGAGACACGGCCCAGACUCCUACGGGAGGCAGCAGUGGGGAAUUUUGGACAAUGGGGGCAACCCUGAUCCAGCCAUUCCGCGUGAGUGAAGAAGGCCUUCGGGUUGUAAAGCUCUUUCGGCAGGAACGAAACGGUGGGCUCUAACAUAGUCAGCUAAUGACGGUACCUGAAGAAGAAGCACCGGCUAACUACGUG
rnacentral:rRNA from 1 species